UAAACGCUGGCGGCGUGCUUAACACAUGCAAGUCGAACGGAGUGGUCUCCCGAGGAUUGAUAGUGCUUGCACUUGAUUGACUCAUUGAAUCACUUAGUGGCGGACGGGUGAGUAACGCGUGGGAAACCUGCCCUAUACUGGGGGAUAGCAGUUGGAAACGACUGAUAAUACCGCAUAAGCGCACAGCUUCGCAUGAAGCAGUGUGAAAAACUCCGGUGGUAUAGGAUGGUCCCGCGUCUGAUUAGCUAGUUGGUGAGGUAACGGCCCACCAAGGCGACGAUCAGUAGCCGGCCUGAGAGGGUGUACGGCCACAUUGGGACUGAGACACGGCCCAAACUCCUACGGGAGGCAGCAGUGGGGAAUAUUGGACAAUGGGGGAAACCCUGAUCCAAGCGACGCCGCGUGAACGAUGAAGUAUUUCGGUAUGUAAAGUUCUAUCAGCAGGGAAGAUAAUGACGGUACCUGACUAAGAAGCACCGGCUAAAUACGUGCCAGCCGCCGC
rnacentral:rRNA from 1 species